rnacentral:lncRNA from 1 species
UCCAGGAGCUCACCGGCAAGGACUCCGAUACCGCCAGGCUCAUGGAGGUCAAAGGCAAUGAGGAGUUAAUGAUGAUGAAGAAGAAGAAGAAUACGGAAACUACAGGGACGAGGGCAGGUAAUGAGUCAUUGACGUCGUCGUAUGAUCGUGACCAUCAUCAUCAGUCGUCGCCGUUCAUUCACCAGCAGCAAGAGUACUCCUCCACGUGUUCGGAUUAUUCGGCUUCUACGGCGUCGUUGGAUGAGCAGGAAGCGUUGUUGUUGCCGAUGGAGGGUAGCUUCAUGAGCUUGUUUCAGCCCAGUUUUUUGACUGAAUUCAAAUUCAACGAGCUAGAUGAGUUGAACUAUUGAUUAUCUUUUUAAUUUUUAAUUUUAAUGAGUAGAUUGGUGGGGGCUGGGAUUCUGUCCCCGUUGGUUCCACUUGGUGUCCAUAUUGUAUGAAGGAGACGUAUUUUUGUCAUUGCUGUACAUGUAAGAUUAAUAUUUAAAUAUAAUAUUAAAUUCAGAUGCUAUUCAUUUGGUUAGGAAUAUGUCCUGUGUAUUUGGCAAUUUGCAGAAGAGAGGAGGUCCCCCACGGCGGCUAUAGGUCUUCCAAAU